AGUGAACGCUGGCGGUAGGCCUAACACAUGCAAGUCGAACGGCAGCACAGUAAGAGCUUGCUCUUACGGGUGGCGAGUGGCGGACGGGUGAGGAAUACAUCGGAAUCUACUUUUUCGUGGGGGAUAACGUAGGGAAACUUACGCUAAUACCGCAUACGACCUACGGGUGAAAGCAGGGGAUCUUCGGACCUUGCGCGAUUGAAUGAGCCGAUGUCGGAUUAGCUAGUUGGCGGGGUAAAGGCCCACCAAGGCGACGAUCCGUAGCUGGUCUGAGAGGAUGAUGAGCAAUAGUGGGACUGAGAGACGGCCCAGACGCAUACGGGAGCCAGCAGUGGGGAAUGUUGGACAAUGGGGGCAAGCUGGAUCCAUCCAUGCAGCGUGAGGGAAGAAGGCCUUAUGGGUGUAAACUGCUUCGGUUGGGGAAGAAAUACUCUGGGCUAAUAAACCGGGGGGAUGACGGUACCGGAAUAAUAAGCAACGGCUAACUUCGUG
rnacentral:rRNA from 1 species